CAAAUUUGCUUAGCAAUACAUCUCCGUUUUGGACGGAGAAAGCUAUAAACGAUAUUUUAUCGCUUUUAAACAUUCGACCAUCGCGAAAUAUAUUUCUUGGACACUUUGUAAAGUUGUUUUGACUUUGGUAUUGCUAUCCUCGUUGCUAUCGACCUCAAAUAUAGUUUAUAGUCUGGUCAGUCUGGUGGAACUGGAACACAUCGAGCAGACGAGCACGAC